rnacentral:rRNA from 1 species
CACGCCCUAAACGAUGUCAACUAGGUGUUGGGUGGGUAAAACCAUUUAGUACCGUAGCUAACGCGUGAAGUUGACCGCCUGGGGAGUACGGCCGCAAGGUUAAAACUCAAAGGAAUUGACGGGGACCCGCACAAGCGGUGGAUGAUGUGGAUUAAUUCGAUGCAACGCGAAAAACCUUACCUACCCUUGACAUGUUCAGAAUCCCGGAGAGAUUUGGGAGUGCUCGAAAGAGAACUGGAACACAGGUGC